ACGAACGCUGGCGGCGUGCUUAACACAUGCAAGUCGAACGGAAAGGCCCCUUCGGGGGUACUCGAGUGGCGAACGGGUGAGUAACACGUGGGUGAUCUGCCCUGCACUUUGGGAUAAGCCUGGGAAACUGGGUCUAAUACCGAAUAGGACCGCAUGCUGCAUGGUGUGUGGUGGAAAGCUUUUGCGGUGUGGGAUGGGCCCGCGGCCUAUCAGCUUGUUGGUGGGGUAAUGGCCUACCAAGGCGACGACGGGUAGCCGGCCUGAGAGGGUGUCCGGCCACACUGGGACUGAGAUACGGCCCAGACUCCUACGGGAGGCAGCAGUGGGGAAUAUUGCACAAUGGGCGCAAGCCUGAUGCAGCGACGCCGCGUGGGGGAUGACGGCCUUCGGGUUGUAAACCUCUUUCAGUAUCGGCGAAGCUCCAAGGUUUUCUUUGGGGUGACGGUAGGUACAGAAGAAGCACCGGCCAACUACG
rnacentral:rRNA from 1 species